UGGUUCACCAGCAAUGGUGACUAAGAGGGAAUCGGGUGAAAAUCCCGAACAGUCCCGCUGCUGUAAGUAGCCCUUAGCGGUGUAAACACGAUGCCACUGUCCUACUGACGGGAAGGCGUUUACACUGGGCUACAAGUCAGAAGACCUGCCGUUGACG
rnacentral:ncRNA from 1 species